rnacentral:rRNA from 1 species
GCCAGCAGCCAUAUGACCUUGCAACUCUGGUCAAGCCUGGUCAGUACCUCGAUGGGGGACCCUCUGGGAAAGCUUAGGUUGUUGCUGGAA